rnacentral:rRNA from 1 species
AAUAGAUACCCUGGUAGUCCACGCCGUAAACGAUGAGUGCUAAGUGUUAGGGGGUUUCCGCCCCUUAGUGCUGCAGCUAACGCAUUAAGCACUCCGCCUGGGGAGUACGGUCGCAAGACUGAAACUCAAAGGAAUUGACGGGGGCCCGCGCAAGCGGUGGAGCAUGUGGUUUAAUUCGAAGCAACGCGAAGAACCUUACCAGGUCUUGACAUCCCAUUGACCACUAUGGAGACAUAGUUUUCCCUUCGGGGACAACGGUGACAGGUGGUGCAUGGUUGUCGUCAGCUCGUGUCGUGAGAUGUUGGGUUAAGUCCCGCAACGAGCGCAACCCUUGUUCUUAGUUGCCAUCAUUUAGUUGGGCACUCUAAGGAGACUGCCGGUGACAAACCGGAGGAAGGUGGGGAUGACGUCAAAUCAUCAUGCCCCUUAUGACCUGGGCUACACACGUGCUACAAUGGACGGUACAAACGGUUGCCAACCCGCGAGGGGAGCUAAUCCGAUAAAACCGUUCUCAGUUCGGAUUGUAGGCUGCAACUCGCCUACA